UACGUAGGGUGCGAGCGUUAAUCGGAUUUACUGGGCGUAAAGCGUGCGCAGGCGGCCCGUUAAGACAGGUGUGAAAUCCCUGGGCUCAACCUAGGAAUUGCGCUUGUGACUGGCGGGCUCGAGUACGGUAGAGGGGGGUGGAAUUCCUGGUGUAGCAGUGAAAUGCGUAGAGAUCAGGAGGAACACCGAUGGCGAAGGCAGCCCCCUGGGCCUGUACUGAUGCUCAUGCACGAAAGCGUGGGGAGCAAACAGG
rnacentral:rRNA from 1 species